UACGUAGGGCGCAAGCGUUGUCCGGAAUUAUUGGGCGUAAAGAGCUCGUAGGCGGCCAGUCGCGUCUGCUGUGAAAUCCCGGGGCUCAACCCCGGGCGUGCAGUGGAUACGGGCUGGCUAGAGGCAGGCAGGGGAGAACGGAAUUCCCGGUGUAGCGGUGAAAUGCGCAGAUAUCAGGAGGAACACCAAUGGCGAAGGCAGCUCGCUGGGACGGUACUGACGCUGAGACGCGAAAGCGUGGGGAGCAAACAGG
rnacentral:rRNA from 1 species